rnacentral:rRNA from 1 species
AGAGUUUGAUCCUGGCUCAGAUUGAACGCUGGCGGUAGGCUUAACACAUGCAAGUCGAGCGGAAACGAAGAAAAGCUUGCUUUUCAGGCGUCGAGCGGCGGACGGGUGAGUAACGCGUAGGAAUCUGCCUAGUAGUGGGGGACAACCUGUGGAAACGCAGGCUAAUACCGCAUAAUCCCUGAGGGGGAAAGGAGGGGAUCUUCGGACCUUUCGCUAUUAGAUGAGCCUGCGUGAGAUUAGCUAGUUGGUGAGGUAAAGGCUCACCAAGGCGACGAUCUCUAGCUGGUCUGAGAGGAUGAUCAGCCACACUGGGACUGAGACACGGCCCAGACUCCUACGGGAGGCAGCAGUGGGGAAUAUUGGACAAUGGGCGCAAGCCUGAUCCAGCCAUACCGCGUGUGUGAAGAAGGCCUUAGGGUUGUAAAGCNCUUUCAGAAGGGAGNAANNGNCNAUGUUUAAUACGCAUNNGCUGNG